rnacentral:rRNA from 1 species
UGGGGAAUUUUGGACAAUGGGGGAAACCCUGAUCCAGCCAUCCCGCGUGUGCGAUGAAGGCCUUCUGGUUGUAAAGCACUUUUGGCAGGAAAGAAACGUCAUGGGUUAAUACCCCGUGAAACUGACGGUACCUGCAGAAUAAGCACCGGCUAACUACGUGCCAGCAGCCGCGGUAAUACGUAGGGUGCAAGCGUUAAUCGGAAUUACUGGGCGUAAAGCGUGCGCAGGCGGUUCGGAAAGAAAGAUGUGAAAUCCCAGAGCUCAACUUUGGAACUGCAUUUUUAGCUACCUGGCUAGAGUGUGUCAGAGGGAGGUGGAAUUCCGCGUGUAGCAGUGAAAUGCGUAGAUAUGCGGAGGAACAACGAUGGCGAAGGCAGCCUCCUGGGAUAACACUGACGCUCAUGCACGAAAGCGUGGGGAGCAAACAGG